GUUGCUAUUGGGGAGGGACUCUCGUCAUUUGAGGCAAAAAUGUGCAGACUGGAUUGGUGACAGCAUGGGGAGUAARGCUUGGAACAUUCUUUUUCAUGCGGAUCGUGAAGGACGGCAAGGAUCACAGGUUUAACAAUGUCAGAGACAGCCCAGGGACAUUCUUUGUGUACUGGAAUGUUCAAGUUGUCUGGGUGUUUGACGCUCUUGCCCACCCUCAUGCUGAACAGUGAGCAGCGAGAUGAGCCCUUGGGCCUGAGGGACUACCUGGGCUGGGGGAUAUGGAGCCUUGGCUUUGUCACAGAGGCCAUCACUGACUAGCCGAAGUGGCUCGUCAAAGGGAACCCAGA